AUUUUUAAGUCAAAUUGUUUAUGUAGACAGGAACCCAACAAAAAUAUUUCCCCAGGACCUUGCGCACCCUAGAAGUGGCUCUGGAGAAAAGCAUUUGCCUACAGAAAUAAACCAUUUCCUUCCUCAGCCUAUAUCAGUAACAAAGGUGCAGCUUUGGCCACUAUCUGCCACUCCUUUCUCUUAUUCCUCUGUUUGUUUAGAAGCGGAUCAGGAAAGAGGGACACCAUUUCCUCGGAUCCCUCAAAGUCCCAAAAAAAGAACUCAAUAAGCAUUAGCUGUUAUCAUUUUUCAAGCUUUCAGGUUGUGUUUUAUUUUCUGUUUUUCUCCUUUCCUUUCAUUCCAAAAAGCCUCUUUUCUUUAAUUCUAUAAGCUCUUCUUUGGUCCUGAGAGAUUCUUGUUUGUUUAUUUUUGUUUGUUUGUUUUUUGCAAUUAUUCCAGAGAUCUGGACAAUCUCUAGCACAGAAAAAAAAAAUUCCCUUCCUUCUUAGCAUCCUUCAGUAGUUGGACUCGGUGAAAAUUCCACUGCCCCCAGCCCUUUGCAGCACUGCUCUCAAGGCCAGUAGGCUGUACCUGGGCCCUGACUUGAGAGGAAGAUCACAAGAGAAGAGCAUUCAGUGGGUUAAAAAAAACAGAUCCGAAGGAUGAAGGGAAUCUACCUUCAGAUUGGAACCGAAGGUCAAAGGUUCUAGGAAUGAAGGUAUUCAACAUGGCAACGCUGGAAGCAAAGUAAACGUUCAACAGCUGGAUGAUGAUAAAGUAAGUGACCUUGAAACCAAUAGGACAACAUGGAGCUCAUUACGAUUAUGUUUAGGGAGACCAGGAGGAGACAUGGAAUAGGGCUUAUGUGCAAUAAAACAGAGAGGAAAGGAGGAGGCAAUUUAUAAAUGCAUGUCCUCUGAUUGUGUAAAAUUAGGCAUCUGUUAAAAAGACGGGAAUGAUGUAAUAAUAGAGUUAACAUGUUAGAGUAAUUGGAUAAUAGUAUUAGUUGUUUCUUUUCUCUAACUGAAUAUAAUAUAUUACUUUUAUAAUUUAGUAAAUUUGUUCUUUUCAAAGGAGGUACACCCAUGCCUUUCUCCUGGCUAUCUGCAGCUCAACAAUGAGGGACUUGGGCUCCCCAGGCCUCCAUCACACUAAACAGUCCUGGCUGACUAUGAUACCCUUCCUCUUUUCUCCCUAAUUUGUUGUCUAUUACAGUUUGCUCCGUGGACAUGUGAAGCAAUCUCUGGGGGUGGAGCUGAGGAAUCUGCAUUAUUAACAGUUUCCUGGGAGAUUCUUACACACACUAAAGUUUGGACAAAGAUUGCUUAAUUUUUCUGCCAAAAGUCUUAACCACACAGGGACUUGCACGAUCUAUGUUAUUUCUUGAAGCAAAGUUAAUCCACCGAUAUUAUGCCUUGUGUGUAUGUGUUUUAAGUGCCCAGUGAACACAGUUCCAUUUAUCCUCAAAGAUUUUUGUGUAGAAAUUUUCGAUUAUAAUUUAUUCAUGGUUUUUGCUUAGAAAGCCACCUUAUAAGCAAGGUAUCCUGUCAUAGGAUCACUACUUUCUUUCCCUCUGUUUUGAGUCCUGCCGUAAUUAGGGCUGAGUGACUUUUCGGGACACACUUUACUUUGUUUCUUUGAUCACAACAGAGAACACAGGACUCUCGGGUCCUGAGGCUGGCUGAAGGGUUUCAGUUUUCCUUAAUUCUCUAUCAUUAUAGGACCUGGAAAUACCCACUCAUGAUCCCACUGCUUCCAGCCCUCAAACUAAGAAUGGAGUCUCUAGUCGUGCACAUUCCUGGGCCUCAGGGCUCACAAGGCAGUGAGGCUGAGGUGGGGCGGCCUGUCUGCGUCUGCGCCCCAGCAGAGCCUCACAGGUCCUCGCUGGCACUGCAGGAAGGAGGCCCCUCUGAGGCGAGGAGUGUUCUGACCUACAAGGCUGUCCAAUCUUUUGGCUUCCCUGGGCAACAUUGGAAGGAGGAAAAUUGUCUUAGGCCACACAUAAAAUACACUAAUGAUAGCUGAUGAGCUUUAAAAAAAAUGCAAACAGAAAUUUCAUAAUGUUUCAAGAAAAUUUAUGAAUUUGUGUUGGGCCACAUUCAAAGCUAUCCUGGGCUGCAUGCAGCCGGUGGGCCAUGGGUUGGAGAAUCUUGCUUUAUGAUUUUACUCAAGACGGAAACUAAGUGCUAACAUUUCCCCCAAUCACAAUUCUAUUUUACCUUUUUAAAAACUCUAAAGGGCAAGAAUUUUGCUAAUCUUUUCUAGAAAUAUAAAAACAAGCAAAUAUGUUUUCUAAAACAAACCAAGGCUUUUCUCCUGGGGAAUUUGCAGACAUAGCACGAACUCCUUCCUCACUGCUAUUUCUUGAGAGGGGCUGUUAGGCUGUGCUGUGCUCUGCUUAAGGACGAGAGGCCAGGUACACAGCCUGAGAGGCCAGUCAUUGUGCCAUGGUGUUGUCAGGAGUUCCCAGUGUCCAUCUUGAUAAGGCUUUGCUAAAACAUACUAAUACAAACUUCCAUUACCUCCUGUGUUUCUAAAUAAACAUACCAAGUUAUUUUAAAAGACUCAUGUUUUCCUUUGUAAUCAUUUGAAAUUUCUGCCUAGUGUGAAACAACCGUCUAGAUUCUCACAGAAUUCAUGAAUAAUACUGAAAUCCACUCUCCUAAACAGCAGCAGUUUCAAGUAAGUUGUGCACUAAACACAAUGUCCAAAUUUAUUUUUAAAGCUUUGAAGAUAAAUGAUGAAGCCUCCUAUGAGAUUAUCUUUUAUGUAGCGGAAGAAAAGAAUCCUUGAGGGUCAAGUUGCUAGGGCAGUCACAGAAGCCAGAGCCAUGGGCCAGGAGGUCCUGAGGCCUCUCUGAAGGAUGUGCGUGAUCAUCCACUAUGGGUGCAGCUGGUGUUGAAAAACUAAGCUGAUGCACCACCUCUGUUGUUCCAAGGCUAGACCAACAGUGGGCAUUCUCUAGACCUAUUGUCUCCUUUACCUAUUAGGGGGAAAACCACUUCUACUGUGCAGGGAUCUGCCCCUUUAAACACAUAAAUACCACUUAAUCCACUGCCCUCAACAGAGGAAAUGACCACUGGCCUGGAGGCCUCCAAAAUUCCUUCUCUUUUUCUUUCUUUCAAAUCAAAGGUCAUGGUUCAUUUCGAGUUCCAAUGCUAUUUUCUAAAUUUUGUUUUAAUCCAGAUCUCAUGACUUCUUUCUCAUUCUCUUUCCUUCCUGAACAAUUCAGUGCUAAAACCAUUAGGUAGGGCAGAGCGAAGACUGUAUGGGCGCCAGGGUGAAGGAAACCACAGUGGCACAGAGUACAGUGCCUGCAUCAGGACAGGGUCAGGAGGCAGUCCUGCAGAGGGGCAGCUCAGCAUGGUGUGUUCAAGUCCUACAGAGUAUUGGAGCCCAAAGGAGAAAAGUAACUUUACAAUGGGAAUGUCUGGCAGACAUCACCUGACUCAAGUGUCAAAGUGAAGAAACAUCAUCAAUGAUGUUUCCAUUAAAUGGAAAUCCUGUGCCACCUGACAAGAGGCAUUUAGGACUUCUGUGAUAUUACCUCUAAAGAAGCAUCACCUGAAUCUGACUAUGAAGAAACAUCAGAAAAACUCAAAUUGAGGAACACUCUGCAAGUUCCCUCAAAACCCUGGCAAUGGCAACUAAAAAGAUGGCUUUUGUGAGAAGAGCGAUUGGUGUCCACACCUGCUGGUGCUGAGCACAAGACAAUGUACAUGUGUUCUCUUGAAGGAAGAAACUUUAGAAACGUCAUCUUCAAGGUGUCAAUCACUUGUCUACUACAGCUGCUGCCUCAGCGUCCACUUUUAGACCCAGCAUCAGCUGUGUGAAACCCAGUCGCACCCUGCCACCUUUGGUCUAGGUGUGACUUCUCUUCCUUAGAGGGGCAUGAUAGAGCCCGUGUGUUUCUUUUAUUUUUUUUCUUUUUGUUUUUGAGAUGGAGUCUUGUUCUGUCACCCAGGCUGGAGUGCAGUGGCACCAUCUUGGCUCACUGUAACCUCUGCCUCCCAGUUCAAGCAAUUCUCCUGCCUCAGCCUCCCAAGUAGCUGGGACUACAGGCAUGAACCACCACGCCUAGCUAAUUUUUAUAUUUUUAGCAGAGAUGGGGUUUUACAAUGUUGGCCAGGCUGGUCUCAAACUCCUGACCUCAUGUGAUCCACUUGCCUCAGCCUCCCAAAGUGCUGGGAUUACAGGCAUGAACCACCAUGCCUGGAGGAGCCCAUGUGUUUCUCAUCUCACCAACCCAAAGCCCAACUCACUCCACAGCUGCUGACCAUGAGGAAACCUAAGGUCAACACCGGAGUCAGGCAAAUAAGCCACCCCCCCACCCCCACCCCCAUACACACUUGUUUUAUUUAAACUGGCCAAUCCACAACUCCCAGAGGAAAGCCCGUGGGCCUUCAUGGAGGCCUAGUCUCAAGCCCUCACUCUCCCUUCCCACCUGCCGAUCGAGUGCCCUGCUGUCUCUGGACUUCCCAUUGGCCCUCAGGGACGUAAGUCUGCCCCAGAGGAGACUUGACACACCAAAAACAAAACUUCUGUUUCAAAAAUCCAGUCCCUGAAGGCAAUCGGGAAAAAGUGUGAAGAACAAGGGCAGAGCUUCCCAACUUUGAGCCUGAGUGGUGAAAGGAAGCAAGAAGAAAAGGGGUUUGUGGGUGCUGGGGGGAGCCGCACAACUAUACCCCCAUCCUCUCCAAGAUCCACCAGAACAGAUACCUACAUAAACUAGAGGUAUUUGAGAACGAAGGCCUCUUGCCCCCGAGGCAGCAGUAACAGACUUGUAUGGCCCACAUGUAUUAGUCUGUUCUCACACUAUUAAGACAUACCUGAGACUGGGUAAUUUAUAAAGGAAAGAAGUUGAAUUGACUCACAGUUCAGAAUGGCUUGGGAGGCCUCAGGAAAGUUACAUCAUGGUGGAAGUGGAAGCAAACAGGUCUUUCUUCACACGGUGGCAGCAAGAAGUGCCAAGCAAAAGGAGGAAAAGCCCCUUAUAAAACCAUCAGAUCUCAUGAGAACUCACUAUCACGAGAACAGCAUGAGGGUAAAUGCUCCCAUGAUUACAUUACCUCCCACCAGCUCCUUCCCACCACAUGUAGGGAUUAUAGGAACUAUAAUUCAAUAUAAGAUUUGGGGUGGGGACACAGCCAAACCAUAUCAGAGGAUGAGCUAGGGGUGCACAGGGGGAGUAGGCUGUGAAGGACAUGUAGUACCCACAUCUCUAGGCCUGCAGGUGCCUUUCAGACAGGAACAAGAGGAAUGUGGUAACAUUCCAGUGUGGCCUGGCCAGCAGGCACAGCCAGGCAAUGUAUGGCGCAGCGGGCACCAAUGUGGCAGGGGAGGGCCAAGUGCUCCUGUGUCUACCCCAACACAAAGGUGCUUCUCCAUAACCACUCUUACCCGCCUCCCCCAAAAUUGGCUGAGUUUAAGUUUCUGCAAACUGGCAAAAUGAGGGCUUGAAAUAAAAAUUGUCUGUGGACUAAAUUUUAUACAUGCUA
rnacentral:lncRNA from 1 species